UCAUCUUCACCGCCUCUCCACCUUCUCCACCUCUGAAAAUACCCUUAUCAUUUCCAAAUGCUUAGCUCCAUCUCCUUCUACUGUGGGUGAUGAAUUAUCGUCAUCGUGGUAAUGGCGUGGCUUUCCUUCUCAGCUUGCAGAAAUGUGUGUUCCGGUGGAAGUGUAAGAGCUUGAAAAAUCUCCAAAUCGAGUUUGAACCCUGCAUCCUAACUUUGUAGUUCACAGUAAACCUCUCAUUCUUGUUCUAUCUGCCUUAUUCUCAUCUACUGAUUACUGAACUUUCAUUUUUAUAUAGAUGAAGUGGAAGUGGAGAAAAAUUAGUUGCUCCCGACCUCCUUCUCUUGGAACUCUUAGUUAGGUGUAGUCACUUUAUGGAAGAUAUGAUUCCAUAGCCCUUCUUUUUUGCUAGUGUUGCUUUUUCUUUGCUAAUGUAGCUUCGGCUAAUUAGCUUUUUAGAUAGUCAUUAUUCCUUUGUGUAAGCCACAAACAUUAUUGUAAAUAUAAUGGUUGUGAGACACUGUGGUGUUUCCUUGUUUCAUCUGUUUAAAAUCUUAAUUGUUCUAA